GUGUCUUCGGUAAUACGAGGCCGUUCGCGGCUGGACUAUUUAUUACCCUUGUCUUUUGCGCACUUGUUGUUUCCUGGGCGGGUUCGCUCGCCACCAGGACCACAAUAUAAACCUUUUUUAUGCAGUUGCAAUCAGCGUCAGUAUAACAAAUGUAAAUCAUUUACAACUUUCAACAACGGAUCUCUUGGUUCUGGCAUCGAUGAAGAACGCAGCGAAAUGCGAUACGUAGUGUGAAUUGCAGAAUUCAGUGAAUCAUCGAAUCUUUGAACGCACAUUGCGCCCUUUGGUAUUCCAAAGGGCAUGCCUGUUCGAGCGUCAUUUGUACCCUCAAGCUUUGCUUGGUGUUGGGCGUUUUUGUCUUUGGCCCGCCAAAGACUCGCCUUAAAAUGAUUGGCAGCCGGCCUACUGGUUUCGCAGCGCAGCACAUUUUUGCGCUUGCAAUCAGCAAAAGAGGACGGCAAUCCAUCAAGACUCCUUCUCACGUUUGACCUCGGAUCAGGUAGGGAUACCCGCUGAACUUAAGCAUAUCAAAAGGCGGGGGGAGGAAA
rnacentral:rRNA from 1 species